GCAGUGGCAGACGGGUGAGUAACGCGUGGGAAUCUACCUAGUUCUACGGAACAACAGAGGGAAACUUCUGCUAAUACCGUAUACGCCCUACGGGGGAAAGAUUUAUCGGAAUUAGAUGAGCCCGCGUAAGAUUAGCUAGUUGGUGGGGUAAUGGCCUACCAAGGCGACGAUCUUUAGCUGGUCUGAGAGGAUGAUCAGCCACACUGGGACUGAGACACGGCCCAGACUCCUACGGGAGGCAGCAGUGGGGAAUAUUGGACAAUGGGCGCAAGCCUGAUCCAGCCAUGCCGCGUGAGUGAUGAAGGCCUUAGGGUUGUAAAGCUCUUUCAGUGGGGAAGAUAAUGACGGUACCCACAGAAGAAGCCCCGGCUAACUUCGUGCCAGCAGCCGCGGUAAUACGAAGGGGGCUAGCGUUGUUCGGAUUUACUGGGCGUAAAGCGCACGUAGGCGGAUCGUUAAGUCAGAGGUGAAAUCCUGGAGCUCAACUCCAGAACUGCCUUUGAUACUGGCGGUCUAGAGUCCGGAAGAGGUGAGUGGAACUCCUAGUGUAGAGGUGGAAUUCGUAGAUAUUAGGAAGAACACCAGUGGCGAAGGCGGCUCACUGGUCCGGUACUGACGCUGAGGUGCGAAAGCGUGGGGAGCAAA
rnacentral:rRNA from 1 species